rnacentral:rRNA from 1 species
CCUACGGGUGGCAGCAGUGAGGAAUAUUGGUCAAUGGACUAGAGUCUGAACCAGCCAAGUAGCGUGAAGGAUGACUGCCCUAUGGGUUGUAAACUUCUUUUAUAUGGGAAUAAAACGUUCCACGUGUGGGAUUUUGUAUGUACCAUAUGAAUAAGGAUCGGCUAACUCCGUGCCAGCAGCCGCGGUAAUACGGAGGAUCCGAGCGUUAUCCGGAUUUAUUGGGUUUAAAGGGAGCGUAGGUGGAUUGUUAAGUCAGUUGUGAAAGUUUGCGGCUCAACCGUAAAAUUGCAGUUGAAACUGGCAGUCUUGAGUACAGUAGAGGUGGGCGGAAUUCGUGGUGUAGCGGUGAAAUGCUUAGAUAUCACGAAGAACUCCGAUUGCGAAGGCAGUUCACUGGACUGCAACUGACACUGAGGCUCGAAAGUGUGGGUAUCAAACAGGAUUAGAUACCCCAGUAGUC